rnacentral:rRNA from 1 species
UACAGAGGCCCCAAGCGUUACUGAGAAUCACUGGGUUUAAAGGGUGCGUAGGUGGCGCGUUAAGUUCGUUGUGAAAUCCCUGGGCUCAACCCAGGAAAUGCUUCGAAUACUGGCGCGCUUGAGGCCGGUAGGGGUCACUGGAACUGACGGUGGAGCGGUGAAAUGCGUAGAUAUCGUCAGGAACGCCAAUGGUGAAGACAGGUGACUGGGCCGAUACUGACGCUGAUGUGCGAAAGCCAGGGGAGCGAACGGG